AACAGCCUCUAGGUGAAUUCCCUUUGUUGCCAUGCACACGAACACGCAUAUAUACCCUUUGACAGGGGCUGCCUUCCGUCCAGCUUGCUUAAUUAGAAACGGACCAGCAAAAUCCAAGCCAACCUUCUGGAAUGAUGGUGCUCUGUCACAGCGACUCGACGGAAGGUCUCCCAUAAACUGCUCCAUUGUAAUUGGAUUGACCUUGAAACAUUUAACGCAACUCCGUGUGAUAUUGCGGACAACAGAGCGGCCGUUGGUUAUCCAAAACUGUCUCCGAACAGUAGCUAACAGUGACAAAGGGCCAAUAUGCAAAUUUUCUUGGUGAAUGCAUCUGACCAGACUUUGCACAACUGGACUUCGGUGAGGUAGAAUCCAUUGGUGCUUGGUAGAAUACGUUUCGGCAAAAUCGCACAACAAAGGCAAAUAUGCGCUGCAGUUUCCGGAAGGAAGCGAUUCUCUCGAACAAAAGACGAAAAGAUUCGUACUGAACCGCCACGCUGACGAUCGUAGAAUGACGAAGCUCAGGCAAGGACCACCUGGCUAUCAGACCACAACACUAUUUUUCUGAAGGAAAGAUGCACUACCUCCAAAAUAUUCUUUACUAAACGGUGCAGCAAACGAGCAGCCAAAAGCUCUUUACGUGGAAUCGUAAGAACUGACUUCGGGACUAAUUUAGAUUUGGCACACAAUAAUCGCACUACUGGAGGUUCUCCAGAGACAAUGGAUUUAACAUACACACAGGCUCCAUACGCAAACUGGAAUGCAUCUGCAUAACCAUGAAGCUCAUAAGCAGAAGCAUUUGUUAUCACCACCAUACGCGGAAUUCGGAUCAUAUUGACAUCACACACUGCUUCCAGGAAGUCUUCGAAAUCUUUCACUAAAUCGGUCGGUAUUGGUUCAUCCCAUCCAACUCUUCUUUCCCAGAUUCGCUGCAUCAACAAUUUUCCUAUAAGAACCACAGGCGCAGCAGUUCCAGUCGGAUCAAAUAUACUCGCGACUAGCGAAAGCACUUGCCUCUUUGUCGGUAGCUUGCAGGGCACUGCUGAUGGUGAAACAAAAAGCAACUGGUCCAUUGUGGGAUCCCACAGCAAUCCCAAUGCCUUGAUGACCUCAUUUACGGAUCCUCCAACACAGGUAAGCUCUUCACGAUCAGCUUCCGGGAUAAUUUGCAGCAGCUCUGGGCAGUUUGAAGCCCACUUAUGCAACUCGAAUCCACCCGUCUUCAACAUCUUAAUCAGCUGUGUUUGUGCCUCUGUUGCAUGAGAAAUAUCAUCAAAGCCGAACAGGGCAUUGUCCACAUAAAAAUCUUCUUCAACUAUCCUGGCUGCCAUUGGGAAUCUUUUUCUCUCGUCACUGGCUAGCUGCUGGAGUGCUCUUGUGGCCAGGAAAGGCGCAGAUGCUGUACCGUAAGUGACGGUUGUUAACUCCAACACUCUCAUAGGGCUUGAUGGCUCAUCUCUCCAGAACACGCGUUGAAGUGGGGAGUGUUGCUUGUCGACAAGGACUUGUCGAUACAUUUUUGCGACGUCGGUUGUUAGCGCGUAGCGCGGGAAUCGAAAGCGCAGGACAAUUGAAAUUAAUGUAUUUUGAUUUAAAUUACCUACCAUCAUUACAUCGUUGAGCGCCAAACCAGCUAUUUUGGCAGAAGCAUCAAAAACUACACGGCAUUUAGUAGUUGUAUUCGAUGGACGCAGAACAGCGUGGUGGGGUAGGUACCACCUUUUUAUGUCAGCUGGAUCCUCACUUUCCCUUAUCUCUUUGCAGUGGCCGAGCUCUUCAUACUCAUUCAUGAACUCGACGUACUGCCUUUUCAA